rnacentral:rRNA from 1 species
GACGAACGCUGGCGGCGUGCCUAACACAUGCAAGUUGAGCGACGAACCAGGGCUUGCCCUGGGGCAAAGCAGCGAACGGGUGAGUAACACGUGGGUAACCUACCCCGAUAACCGGGACAACCCGAGGAAACUCGGGCUAAUACCGGAUGUGCUCACUGGACUUCGGUUCAGUGCGUAAAGGAAGCUUCGGCCUCCGUAUCGGGAGGGGCCCGCGGCCCAUUAGUUUGUUGGUGAGGUAACGGCUCACCAAGACCGCGAUGGGUAGCUGGUCUGAGAGGACGAUCAGCCACACUGGGACUGAGACACGGCCCAGACUCCUACGGGAGGCAGCAGUGGGGAAUCUUGCGCAAUGCGCGAAAGCGUGACGCAGCAACGCCGCGUGGGGGAAGAAGGCCUUCGGGUUGUAAACCCCUUUCAGGAGGGACGAAGGUUCGGCGGUGAAUAGCCGUCCGGACUGACGGUACCUCCUCAAGAAGCCCCGGCUAACUACGUG